UCGCAUCGGCCUCAGCUUAGGAGCAGACGCUGGACAUGCAAAGACAGAAAACACACACAAGAGGGAGAGGAGGAAACACGAGGUAAAGUGAGAAAGGAGGAAGGAGACGGUAAGGAAGCCCGGUGGGAUGCCGAGACAGCUUCCCUCCUAUUGGUCAACAUCAAAAGGAGUUGGGAAAGUUCUUAUGUUUAUUUUCCAUAUGCAGUGUUUGUCAGAUGAAUUAAUUACUUUAUUAAGCCAUUUAUUUAUUUGGAUUUUUAGUGCCUAUUUUGACAGGAUCAGUCCUCCGUAGGAACAAAGGAGGCACUAAAAACUGGCUCAUUUAUUGGAGAGACAAUUAUUCUGGAAAGAAAUGAAGCAGAGACGGAGGAAAAAGAGAGGGGGGAGGUACCCAAAAAGUCGGGGGAAGAGGCAACAAAUCAGAGCGAUGGAAAUAGUUUAGAUCGUCUCUGACUUUAACUCAGCACAGACAGACGUCAUGGACACAACUGAGGAUUUUAUUUCAACAAAAAGUUGUUGCAACGGAGAGAGAGAAGGACAAGAACAAGGGAAAGAAUUAGAGCUAAUAGUUAAGACAAUAUAAAAGAAGAUCAGUUAAUGUUUUUCUCAGGUAAUGUGAGAAUGUGACAAGAUAGCUAAUAAUAAUAGCAGUAAUUCAAUCUAUUCCUGAAAGUUUUCCAUGCUGAUAAAUAUGUUUGGCCUUUAACUCCUGUGGUUUUACCCUGUAUGUGAUCUAGAUGCAGAAAUCCUCAAAUUGUUUUACAGUUACAGGUUUGGGCAUUUAUUGUAUAAUUUAUUGCAAAAAAAAAAAAAAGAGAAAAGUCCUAUCAAGACAAGACAUUUUGAUUUAUCGUUAUCAUGGCAAAUUUGAGUUACUGAUGGGAAAUAAAAAGUCUGAUCGGAAAUGUUAUUCUUGCUAUUUUCUCCACUUUUGUUCUACAAAAGUGUCGAUAAAUAUCAUUAAAUAAAAAAAAUAUAUGAUUAAACGCAGAUACAAAUCACACUUUUUGAAAUGAGUGGCAUCAUAAGAAGCCUGUUUUUAAUGUUUUUCAAGAACAAUAUUUCUUAUCUAA